UUCUUAUUGGAUGAUGACUCCAUGUGUCGUUCUGAUUUGAUGUCAAUUCCAUGAAAGAUGAAAUGUAUUAUUGUUUUCAUUGACUAAUCAAAACAUGACACAUGACAAUUAUCAUUU
rfam:Glycine soja cultivar W05 scaffold497_13, whole genome shotgun sequence.